rnacentral:rRNA from 1 species
GGAUUCUGGUGGGGCUGUCGGCCUGGCUCCGAAAGGGGUCUGGUUAGUACACGCCUGGCCAUCCUCGGGGGAAGCUUUGCUGGCAUUAAGUUGUCGGCGGAGUGACGCUCGUCGUUUACUGUGAACAAAUUAGAGUGUUCAAAGCAGGCUUAGGCCGUUGAAUACAUUAGCAUGGAAUAAUGAGAUAGGACUUUGGUGGUCUAUUUUGUUGGUUUGCACGCCGAAGUAAUGAUUAAUAGGGGCGGUUGGGGGUAUUCGUAUUCAAUUGUCAGAGGUGAAAUUCUUGGAUUUAUGGAAGACGAACUACUGCGAAAGCAUUUACCAAGGAUGUUUUCAUUAAUCAAGAACGAAAGU